rnacentral:rRNA from 1 species
AAAUUGACGGGGACCCGCACAAGCGUGGAUGAUGUGGAUUAAUUCGAUGCAACGCGAAGAACCUUACUACCCUUGACAUGUCCGGAACUUGCCAGAGAUGGCUUGGUGCCCGAAAGGGAAUCGGAACACAGGUGCUGCAUGGCUGUCGUCAGCUCGUGUCGUGAGAUGUUGGGUUAAGUCCCGCAACGAGCGCAACCCUUAUCAUUAGUUGCUACGCAAGGGCACUCUAAUGAGACUGCCGGUGACAAACCGGAGGAAGGUGGGGAUGACGUCAAGUCCUCAUGGCCCUUAUGGGUAGGGCUUCACACGUCAUACAAUGGUCGGUACAGAGGGUUGCCAAGCCGCGAGGCGGAGCCAAUCCCACAAAGCCGAUCGUAGUCCGGAUUGUUCUCUGCAACUCGAGAGCAUGAAGUCGGAAUCGCUAGUAAUCGCAGGUCAGCAUACUGCGGUGAAUACGUUCCCGGGUCUU